rnacentral:pre_miRNA from 1 species
AUAGUACUCCCUCCGUUCGGAAUUACUCGUCAAAAAAAUGAAUGUAUCUAUAACUAAAAUACAUCUAAAUACAUUCAUUUCUUGGACGAGUAAUUCCGAACGGAGGGAGUAUAAU